rnacentral:misc_RNA from 1 species
GAUGAAGAACGUAGCGAAAUGCGAUACGUAAUGUGAAUUGCAGAAUUCAGUGAAUCAUCGAGUCCUUGAACGCACAUUGCGCCCCCUGGUAUUCCGGGGGACAUGCCUGUCCGAGCGUCAUUGCUGCCCUCAAGCACGGCUUGUGUGUUGGGCCUCCGUCCUCCUCCCGGGGGACGGGCCCGAAAGGCAGCGGCGGCACCGCGUCCGGUCCUCGAGCGUAUGGGGCUUCGUCACCCGCUCUUGUAGGCCCGGCCGGCGCUUGCCGACACAUCAAUCUUUUUUCCAGGUUGACCUCGGAUCAGGUAGGGAUACCCGCUGAACUUAAGCAUAUCAAUAAGCGGAGGA